AGUGAACGCUGGCGGUAGGCCUAACACAUGCAAGUCGAACGACAGCACAGUAAGAGCUUGCUCUUACGGGUGGCGAGUGGCGGAUGGGUGAGGAAUACAUCGGAAUCUACUUUUUCGUGGGGGAUAACGUAGGGAAACUUACGCUAAUACCGCAUACGACCUACGGGUGAAAGCAGGGGAUCUUCGGACCUUGCGCGACUGAAUGAGCCGAAGUCGUAUUAGCUAGUUGGCGGGGUAAAGGCCCACCAAGGCGACGAUCCGUAGCUGGUCUGAGAGGAUGAUCAGCCACACUGGAACUGAGACACGGUCCAGACUCCUACGGGAGGCAGCAGUGGGGAAUCUUCGGCAAUGGGCGCAAGCCUGAUCCAGCCAUACCGCGUGAGUGAAGAAGGCCUUCGGGUUGUAAAGCUCUUUUGUUGGGAAAGAACAGCAGCAUGUUAAUCCCCCGCUGUUCUGACGGUACCCAAUGAAUAAGCACCGGCUAACUUCGUG
rnacentral:rRNA from 1 species